rnacentral:rRNA from 1 species
GCAAGUCGAACGAGAGAGAAGGAGCUUGCUUCUUCGAUUGAGUGGCGAACGGGUGAGUAACGCGUGAGUAACCUGCCCUGGAGUGGGGGACAACAGUUGGAAACGACUGCUAAUACCGCAUAAGCCCACGAUCCGGCAUCGGAUUGAGGGAAAAGGAUUUAUUCGCUUCAGGAUGGACUCGCGUCCAAUUAGCUAGUUGGUGAGGUAACGGCCCACCAAGGCGACGAUUGGUAGCCGGACUGAGAGGUUGAACGGCCACAUUGGGACUGAGACACGGCCCAGACUCCUACGGGAGGCAGCAGUGGGGGAUAUUGCACAAUGGGGGAAACCCUGAUGCAGCGACGCCGCGUGGAGGAAGAAGGUUUUCGGAUUGUAAACUCCUGUCGUUAGGGACGAUAAUGACGGUACCUAACAAGAAAGCACCGGCUAACUACGUGCCAGCAGCCGCGGUAAAACGUAGGGUGCAAGCGUUGUCCGGAAUUACUGGGUGUAAAGGGAGCGCAGGCGGACCGGCAAGUUGGAAGUGAAAACUAUGGGCUCAACCCAUAAAUUGCUUUCAAAACUGCUGGCCUUGAGUAGUGCAGAGGUAGGUGGAAUUCCCGGUGUAGCGGUGGAAUGCGUAGAUAUCGGGAGGAACACCAGUGGCGAAGGCGACCUACUGGGCACCAACUGACGCUGAGGCUCGAAAGCAUGGGUAGCAAACAGGAUUAGAUACCCUGGUAGUCCAUGCCGU